UGACUACUUGGGCACAAAAUCAUAGCAGAGGUGAACUUUCAGUGUUUAUUUUAUGGGGGCACAACCAAACAUUAGAUCUUAACCAUAAAACUAUGUUAAAUAAGACUUUUCAUGAUGAGCCUCUAGUAAUGGACUUUAAUAGAGACUUGAUUCCUGACGUCUUUGGUGUCACAAGUGAUUCAAGUAAGC